rnacentral:rRNA from 1 species
AGAGUUUGAUCCUGGCUCAGGACGAACGCUGGCGGCGUGCUUAACACAUGCAAGUCGAACGAUGAUGCCCAGCUUGCUGGGCGGAUUAGUGGCGAACGGGUGAGUAACACGUGAGUAACCUGCCCUUGACUUCGGGAUAACUCCGGGAAACCGGGGCUAAUACCGGAUAUGAGCCGUCCUCGCAUGGGGGUGGUUGGAAAGUUUUUCGGUCAGGGAUGGGCUCGCGGCCUAUCAGCUUGUUGGUGGGGUGAUGGCCUACCAAGGCGACGACGGGUAGCCGGCCUGAGAGGGCGACCGGCCACACUGGGACUGAGACACGGCCCAGACUCCUACGGGAGGCAGCAGUGGGGAAUAUUGCACAAUGGGCGAAAGCCUGAUGCAGCGACGCCGCGUGAGGGAUGAAGGCCUUCGGGUUGUAAACCUCUUUCAGCAGGGAAGAAGCGCAAGUGACGGUACCUGCAGAAGAAGCGCCGGCUAACUACGUGCCAGCAGCCGCGGUAAUACGUAGGGCGCAAGCGUUGUCCGGAAUUAUUGGGCGUAAAGAGCUCGUAGGCGGUUUGUCGCGUCUGGUGUGAAAACUCGAGGCUCAACCUCGAGCUUGCAUCGGGUACGGGCAGACUAGAGUGCGGUAGGGGAGACUGGAAUUCCUGGUGUAGCGGUGGAAUGCGCAGAUAUCAGGAGGAACACCGAUGGCGAAGGCAGGUCUCUGGGCCGCAACUGACGCUGAGGAGCGAAAGCAUGGGGAGCGAACAGGAUUAGAUACCCUGGUAGUCCAUGCCGUAAACGUUGGGCACUAGGUGUGGGGCUCAUUCCACGAGUUCCGUGCCGCAGCAAACGCAUUAAGUGCCCCGCCUGGGGAGUACGGCCGCAAGGCUAAAACUCAAAGGAAUUGAC